rnacentral:rRNA from 1 species
GACGAACGCUGGCGGCGUGCUUAACACAUGCAAGUCGAACGGAAAGGCCUCUUUCGGGGGGUACUCGAGUGGCGAACGGGUGAGUAACACGUGAGUAACCUGCCCUUGACUUUGGGAUAACUUCAGGAAACUGGGGCUAAUACCGGAUAGGAGCUCCUGCUGCAUGGUGGGGGUUGGAAAGUUUCGGCGGUUGGGGAUGGACUCGCGGCUUAUCAGCUUGUUGGUGGGGUAGUGGCUUACCAAGGCUUUGACGGGUAGCCGGCCUGAGAGGGUGACCGGCAAAAUUGGGAUGGGGAACGGGCCAAGAUUCCAACGGGAGGAGGAAGGGGGGAAAAUUGAAAAAGGGGGGGAGGCCUGAGCAAGAAAGGCGGGGUGGGGAAGAAGGGCCUUCGGGUGGAAAACCGCUUUGGCUAAGGAGGAGGUUUGUGUGACGGUAGUGGGUAAAGAAGCACCGGCUAACUACGUG